AGUGAACGCUGGCGGUAGGCCUAACACAUGCAAGUCGAACGGCAGCACAGUAAGAGCUUGCUCUUACGGGUGGCGAGUGGCGGACGGGUGAGGAAUACAUCGGAAUCUACUUUUUCGUGGGGGAUAACGUAGGGAAACUUACGCUAAUACCGCAUACGACCUACGGGUGAAAUCAGGGGAUCUUCGGACCUUGCGCGAUUGAAUGAGCCGAUGUCGGAUUAGAUGGUUGGCGGGGGAAAGGCCAACCAAGGCGACGAUCCGUAGCUGGUCUGAGAGGAUGAUCAGCCACACUGGAACUGAGACACGGUCCAGACUCCUACGGGAGGCAGCAGUGGGGAAUAUUGGACAAUGGGCGCAAGCCUGAUCCAGACAUACCGCGUGGGUGAAGAAGGCCUUCGGGUUGUAAAGCCCUUUUGUUGGGAAAGAAAAGCAGCAGGUUAAUACCCCGCUGUUCUGACGGUACCCAAAGAAUAAGCACCGGCUAACUUCGUG
rnacentral:rRNA from 1 species